rnacentral:rRNA from 1 species
UACGUAGGGUACGAGCGUUGUCCGGAAUUAUUGGGCGUAAAGAGCUUGUAGGCGGUCUGUCGCGUCUGCUGUGAAAAUCCGGGGCUCAACCCCGGACUUGCAGUGGGUACGGGCAGACUAGAGUGUGGUAGGGGAGACUGGAAUUCCUGGUGUAGCGGUGAAAUGCGCAGAUAUCAGGAGGAACACCGAUGGCGAAGGCAGGUCUCUGGGCCACUACUGACGCUGAGAAGCGAAAGCAUGGGGAGCGAACAGG